GGUGUUGUGGCUCAGCGGUAGAGCGCUUGUCUAGCGCAUGUGGGGUUCUGGGUUUGAUUCUCAGCACCACAU
rnacentral:tRNA from 1 species